rnacentral:sRNA from 1 species
AGACGGUGAGCACCGGAGCCGGUACGAA